AGUGAACGCUGGCGGUAGGCCUAACACAUGCAAGUCGAACGGCCGCACAGUAAGAGCUUGCUCUUACGGGUGGCGAGUGGCGGACGGGUGAGGAAUACAUCGGAAUCUACUUUUUCGUGGGGGAUAACGUAGGGAAACUUACGCUAAUACCGCAUACGACCUACGGGUGAAAGCAGGGGAUCUUCGGACCUUGCGCGAUUGAAUGAGCCGAUGUCGGAUUAGCUAGUUGGCGGGGUAAAGGCCCACCAAGGCGACGAUCCGUAGCUGGUCUGAGAGGAUGAUCAGCCACACUGGAACUGAGACACGGUCCAGACUCCUACGGGAGGCAGCAGUGGGGAAUAUUGGACAAUGGGCGCAAGCCUGAUCCAGCCAUACCGCGUGGGUGAAGAAGGCCUUCGGGUUGUAAAGCCCUUUUGUUGGGAAAGAAAAGCAGCAGGUUAAUACCCCGCUGUUCUGACGGUACCCAAAGAAUAAGCACUGGCUAACUUCGUG
rnacentral:rRNA from 1 species